GAGGCAAGGAAUGGGAUGGGGGAUGAGCUGGUCAGUCCAGUCAGGAAGUGUCUAGCACCCCCUCUCAGUUCCUGUGUGGUCCUGAGUGUAGCCCUUAAGCAUUGCGAGGAGAAAACUUAACAAGGAAACAGGAACCAGAACUCUUCUGGUAUCUCUGGCUUCUAGCAAGGACAUUCUUGGACCUGCUUCUUUGGGGGUGCUUGCCCUACUUGACCAGUUUCUGUCUCCUGAGUUCAUCCAUUCUUCCUUCAGGAUAACCUUCAGAAAGGGCAGAGAGUAGAGAGGAAGUCAGGGAAUAAAUACUGAAUGUCCUUGCACACUUUUAGAUCAACUCCAUCAGAAUUUCUGAGGGUGGGGCCUAAUGACCCACAAUUGAAAAGACAUCCCCACUUGUAAGCUGAUAAUGCAGUAAGUUGAAAAAACUCCCAUUAUGCACUCAGGAUCUUGGUCACCAUACUCCCUUCCCUUCCCUACUGGGCUGUCCUGUGCCGUUUAUCCCCUUGCCAAUCACAGGCUUGCAGUUCAACCUUACACUUGACUUUCACAGUGCCCCUUGGAUUCUGAUUUGUAAAAUAUGUGAAUGAUGGUGUCCAUAUCCACACACCAAAAAUUUGCUCUCAUUAAGCUGCCAAAUUCUUCAUGAAGCCGGUUUCCUGUUUCAACUGAGACUUCAAAACCAAAAUUAAAAAAUCUUACCUAUCUACACAGAACGAUCCUUGAAGGAACAGGACUGUGUAUGGCUACCCGAAGGAAUGUUAGAAAAUGAGGUUAUGUGAAAACAUAUGGGUUUGCAGCCAGGUGUGGUGGUGUAAUCUCGUGUUAAGUAUAAUUUCAGCACCAGAUGAUCAGUAUUUUUGGAUCCCUGGUUGUGGGUUUCUCUGCUGAUGCAGCAAGCCAAAUCCAGCUGAAUUAAUAAAACCAGGGUUAAUGAACAAAGCAUGGCAAUUCCCAGGUGACUCUCAGGAAAGACAGGAGAGAAAUCACUUGGCAGGUCUAGGGUCCUGGUCUUAAAUAUCCUGUGGGCGUGGUCUUGUGCCUCAGGGGAGGAGCCACCUCUUGAAUGGGCUUCUUGAGAAGGGGUGGGGUUUGGAAUCCAGGAGAGUGAGGCUGAAGCGGGGUUCCCAGCUAAACACUCAGCACUUAGGAUAUAGAGAUGCUACCAGGGAAAUUGGGAUUCCCCUCUUUGGAUUCCUUAGUUAAUAAAAGAAUUUGAGGGCUGGUGAGAUGGCUCAGUGGGUAAAGCUGCCAGCUGUAAAGCUUGUGGAGCUGGGUUCAACCCCCAGAACUCACAUGUUGAAAGGGGAGAACAAAUUCCCCAAAGUUGUCCUCUGACCUCCACAUCUAUGCUGUGGUGUCUGCUGGCAGCUCUGUAGCAACUGUACCAGGGUGAGCCUCCUGGAAAGAAGGGGUUAUCUCGCUAGAGGGAUAAAUAUACCCUGCUUCUCUUUAGCAUGGCUUAAGGUGAAUCAGCCUUCCUGGGGCAUCGUCUCUACCAGGUGAUUGCCGAUGUCUUUAUUUACUUACUUAUUUAUUUAUUUAUUUAUUUUCGAGGCGGGGAGAUGUUCUCUGUGUAGUCCUGGCCGUCCUGGAACUCACUCUGAGACCAGGACACAGGGAUUCAUCCAUCUCUGCCUCUGAGUGCUGAGAUUAAAGGUUUAAGCCACCACCACCCUUCUCUUAGUCACUUUUUAUUGUUUUGAUAAACAUCAUGACCAAAAACAAGCUGUGGGAGGAAAGGAUUUAUUUUAUUGUAUAGUCCAACACUGAGGGAAGUCACAGCAGGAGCUCAAGGUUGAAGCAGAGGCCAUGGAAGAGUGUUACUUAUUGGUUUUGAAGGGACAGGACCCUCAUCUGGCCCCCUGCUUUAGCAGCCACGACAGGCUGCAGAAAAGACACAGAAAGAGGUAGGCCUCUGAGCUUCCUGACCUUGCCCGAAGUAGUCACUAGGAGAUCAGAUACCCUCCCUCCAUGUGGCAAGGAACCAAUCAGAGGUUAGUUGGUGGGUUGUGGAUGUGCUUUAUGGGCUCUGGAUGUGCUUUACGGUAACAGUGGCAUAACAGUGACAUACAGAGCAUUGCAACUGCCCUGGAAGGGCCUAUAGGCCAUAGCAACCAGUUGGCCAAUGAACAUAGGACAUGUCGCCCAAGCCUGGAAAUGUACCAAUCCUGAGACUGUUGAGACCCCAGACACUCCCCUUGCUCUACCCCAAUAAAUUCCCUGCCCCAUGGUUCUUCUGGGUCCUUCUUGCUCCACCUGCUGUGUCAGAUAGACAGAAGACCCGAGUUAAUACAGUUAACUCAUUAAUUAUUAAAGAAACCUUUGUUUUUGCACCAGAGAGUCAGCUCCUUGGUGGUCUAUUUGGGGUCUUGUAAACUUGGCAUAACAGUUUGUUUCCUGUGGUUUACUCAACCUGCUCUUUCAGACAACUCAGGACCACCUACCCAGGAGUGACACCACCCCUUGUUGGCUAGAAUCUCCUAUAUUGUUCAUCAAACAAGAAAAUACUUUGCAGAUUUGCCUACAAGCCAUCUGAUGGAGGCAUUUUCUCAGAUUCCAGCAUAUACUGAAGACUAGCUGGGACAUCCAGCCUCCUGGACUAAGCGACUAGUGGAUUCUUGGAUCAGCCACUGUUGGACUAACUGAACUACAGCCUAUGCUGGUCAGAGUCUAAGCAGAUUUUUCAGGCACUUUGGGCUUCCUUGCAUGUCCUCUAAAGCUCCUCUCGGCACCUUGUGCAGCUUGUACACACUGUGUCUGACCUCCUGUCACUCCCUGGUGACCCUGCCUCACUUCCUGUCCUCAGGAUUCUUUCUACUUGGCAACAAGUCUCUGCCUGGUCCUUCCAUGGGUGAAAGGACCAACCAGGUAAUCCUGUCUUCCUCCAAGGAAGUGAGUCAGAGGUCUCGCGCCCAUUUCCUUUGGAAACUUCAAGAGGGUAAGAAUGUACCUGACUGGUCAGGCAGCACCAUGUGAACCAGACCACAGCACUUGGGAAAUGGAGGCAGGAAGAUCAGAAGUUCUAGGUCAUCCUUGGCUACACAGCAAGUUAGAAGCGAGACUGUGAUACAUGGGACCCUGACAAAGAGAAGGAAAAAGAAUGUGGCCCACAGGAAGCCAUCAAUAAAAGUCAAAUUUUCUCAGUCA